rnacentral:lncRNA from 13 species
CACAUUAGGUAUGCAUUUGGUACCUAUGUGUUUUACACAUAUGCACAUACAGAUUUAUCAUGGUAACAUAACUACACGUGUACAAAUAUGUGCUCACUAUUUUAACUAUGUACACACGAAAAUAUAGAUACAAACUCUGGACCUAUGCAGAGGCAUGCUAUUUCCACAGCCCACAUCGCAGCAUUUCCCACUCGCCCUCUGGAUGCUUACGGACACCCGGGCUUUGAGGCUGUGCCCACAGCUGCCACCAGAGGGUCUAUAAGAGCACCCAGGCCCACCCUGGCUACCUCCGGAUGCCAUGGCUAGAAAGCUGUGCCCACAUCCCCACCAGAGGUCCUGUAGCAGCUCGCCAGCCCACUCUGGCAACUUAGGGACACUCUGGAUUAAGGGCGUUUUCUGAUACAUUCCCAGAAAGCAUGUAGCAGACCCAAGUCCAACCCUGCAGCUUAGGGACACAUUAACUAGGUGACUGUGCCCAGAGCACCCACCAGAGGGCCCGAAGUAAAUCCCAGGUGCACCAUGGCUGCUUAGGGACACGCUGGCUAUGUGGCUGUCCUAACAGGCUCCACUAGCGUGCCUGUAGCAGCCCAGUAGCUUAGAAUGGCUGCUUAAGGAAACCCUGGAUAGAGCACUGUGCCCACAGUCCCCACCAACGAGCCCGUAGCAGGCCCAAGGCACACCAUCAUAGCUUUGGGACCCCUGGUUUGUUGGCUCUGCUCACCGCUGCUGGGGCCAAGCUAUUUAAGACAUGUGGUUUAAUAUGAUACUGGCGACCAUAUCAUACAGAAAUGAUAGUGUUAUUCUCUUUUGCUAUAUAUGAGGCAGUAGUUAUAGUUACACCUCUGCUAUAUUGACAAAUUUGCCAUCCUCAAAUCCCUUGACAUGAGAAUUGAAAGCAUAGGGGAGUUUCACCCCUUGCAAUGUUUAAUUCAAUAUAACUGUUUUCUUGUUUACAUUAGUGACCCUAUCACAGCAUUCUGUAUACCUCUUGCCAUAUUCAGAAUACUUCCCUAUGAGCCGCAACAUUUUCCUCUCCUCUGGAUGUUAGGAACUAUAUCCCAGGACCGGCCUACAACCCCAGUCACAUCUGACCCUAUAAGAACAUGCUGUACACCUCUUGCCAUAUUCAGAGUACUUCCCUAUAAGCCGCAACAUUUUCCUCUCCUCCUCUGGAUGUUAGGAACAAUAUCCCAGGACCGGCCUACAACCCCAGUCACAUCUGACCCUAUCAGAACAUGCUGUACACCUCUUGCCAAAUUCAGAGUACUUCCCCAUAAGCCGCAACAUUUUCCUCUCCUCCUCUGGAUGUUAGGAACAAUAUCCCAGGACCGGCCUACAACCCCAGUCACAUCGUGA